AUGAAGCUGCUGCACCAACUUGGGGCCCCAAGAGUCAUCCUCAAACUCGACCUCACGCGAGCCUUCGACUCCCUAUCCUGGCCCUUCCUCUUCGAGGUGCUGGACCAGUAUGGGUUUGGACCUCGGUUCCGGGAGUGGCUUGCCAUACUGCUUUCGACCUCAAGCACCGGGAUCAUGCUGAACAGCGAGCCAGGGCCGCUGAUAUGGCACCGAUGCGCACUGCGACAGGGCGACCCAGUGUCCCCACAACUCUUUGUGCUCGCCGUGGACACCCUCGGACGCCUCGUCCGCCGCGCCCACGACUCCGGCAUCUUGCAACAGCUGCACCCCCGACGAGCCAUUCCGGCCAUCUCCUUAUAUGCCGACGAUGUGAUGCUCUUCUGCCACGCCACACCUGGAGACAUGGAGGCCGUCAAGGGCAUCCUAACACUCUUCGGUGAAGCUAGCGGCCUCCGGGUGAACUACGCCAAGAGCUCGGCCACCAUCCUCCAUGGCGACCCCGACGCGGCCGCGACGAUUGCCCAUGUAGGAUGCAGGACGGCCGACCUGCCCAUCACCUACCUCGGCAUCCCGCUAACGUUGUGCCGCCCCACUGCCGCCCAACUAUAG
rnacentral:rRNA from 1 species